UACGUAGGGACCGAGCGUUGUCCGGAAUCAUUGGGCGUAAAGAGCGUGUAGGCGGCCUUUUAAGUCCUGCGUGAAAUCCUGCGGCUCAACCGCAGACGGUCGUGGGAAACUGGAAGGCUAGAGUGCGGGAGAGGAGGGUGGAAUUCCCGGUGUAGCGGUGAAAUGCGCAGAUAUCGGGAAGAACACCCGUGGCGAAGGCGGCUCUCUGGAACGCAACUGACGCUGAGACGCGAAAGCGUGGGGAGCAAACAGG
rnacentral:rRNA from 1 species